AGAGUUUGAUCCUGGCUCAGAACGAACGCUGGCGGCAGGCCUAACACAUGCAAGUCGAGCGCGCCUUUCGGGUGAGCGGCGGACGGGUUAGUAACGCGUGGGAACGUGCCCUUUUCUACGGAAUAGCCUCUGGAAACGGAGAGUAAUACCGUAUACGCCCUUUGGGGGAAAGAUUUAUCGGAGAAGGAUCGGCCCGCGUUAGAUUAGGUAGUUGGUGGGGUAACGGCCUACCAAGCCUACGAUCUAUAGCUGGUUUUAGAGGAUGAUCAGCAACACUGGGACUGAGACACGGCCCAGACUCCUACGGGAGGCAGCAGUGGGGAAUCUUAGACAAUGGGGGCAACCCUGAUCUAGCCAUGCCGCGUGAGUGAUGAAGGCCUUAGGGUCGUAAAGCUCUUUCGCCUGUGAUGAUAAUGACAGUAGCAGGUAAAGAAACCCCGGCUAACUCCGUGCCAGCAGCCGCGGUAAUACGGAGGGGGUUAGCGUUGUUCGGAAUUACUGGGCGUAAAGCGCGCGUAGGCGGAUUAGAAAGUUGGGGGUGAAAUCCCGGGGCUCAACCUCGGAACUGCCUCCAAAACUGCUAGUCUAGAGUUCGAGAGAGGUGAGUGGAAUUCCGAGUGUAGAGGUGAAAUUCGUAGAUAUUCGGAGGAACACCAGUGGCGAAGGCGGCUCACUGGCUCGAUACUGACGCUGAGGUGCGAAAGUGUGGGGAGCAAACAGGAUUAGAUACCCUGGUAGUCCACACCGUAAACGAUGAAUGCCAGUCGUCGGGUAGUAUACUAUUCGGUGACACACCUAACGGAUUAAGCAUUCCGCCUGGGGAGUACGGUCGCAAGAUUAAAACUCAAAGGAAUUGACG
rnacentral:rRNA from 1 species